UGAGAAGUGAUUGUGUGCCUAUACUUUUAGAUGCUGGAGAUAUAUUGCUGAACAAGACUGAUUAAAAAAAAAUCUGUUCUGCAUUCAGGUCUCACUAUCCACACAAACACGCAGCCAAAGAGUAAGUUGGGGUCAUAGUACUGGUCUAGUGUUGUCUCUUUGGACAUGUCCACCACUGGCCAGCCUCCAGACUCCCACACACAG
ensembl:snoRNA